UAAUAAUUUUUGAAAAAUUGUAUUGUUGUUGGCUGAGACACUGAAGAUGACAUCUAGUGGCCAGGUUUGUCUUCAGUUGUUGGGCGUAGGCUAGCCUUUUAAGCCCUUACCCUUUUCUUGGUUUUUUGUCAGCUGAAGCUUUUGAGAGAAAGAGUCGCCAUUUUUAUUUGUUAGGGGUUUUGAUGUUAGCUUAAUUAGCUUGAUUGCUAUUUGUAAUUUGUUAGGCAUUUCUUAGAAUUUGUGAUGGGUUUUAGUUGGUUCGGGUUGGCGGUUGGUGAUCUUGCUAUUUAUUUAUUCUUGAUGAAUUUUGAUGCUUUAAGACUUGGAGACCAUAUUUUCCACCACUUCGAGAAGCUGAGUAACAUUCUACUUGUACAAUGUUAAGAAUGGCACCUUUUAAUAAAAGGAACUUCAGCCAUCCAAUCUAGGACUUCCAUCCAAUCGUGCAGGCUGCAUGGAAGUCGCAUUUACCUUUGCUGUGAACAUCAUGAACACAUACACUAUUUGAAGUUUUAACAUUUUGGGAUUUUGUCAAGUCAACAGCUAUUUCCUUCAGGGUUGUGUUCUGUUAUGGAUUUUUUAAAGGGGAGUUUGUUGUAUGCAAGAAAGGCAGAUUCCGAAAGAAGUUUUGU
rnacentral:lncRNA from 1 species